rfam:Brachypodium distachyon strain Bd21 chromosome 3, whole genome shotgun sequence.
AGGAUACUCCCUCCGUCCCAUAAUUCUUGUCUCAAAUUUGCCCAAAUAUGGAUGUAUCUAUUCCUAAAAAGCGUCUAGGUACAUGUAAUAUUUCGACAAGAAUUAUGGGACGGAGGGAGUACCUG